AUGGCACAGUCAAUAACACCGCUGGAAAACAAGCUGUUUCAAUCUGCAGGAGAUGAAAUCACUCUGUCCUGUAAAUAUGAUGGAGCAGAUAACCUGCACUGGUAUCGUCAGUAUCCGGGAUCCAAACCAGAGUUCCUCGCAUACAUUUAUCCACAUGGAGACAAAAGUGAUCCUCUUCCUCCUCGUCUUUUACCUAAAGUCGAUAAAAGCAACAAUCUUGUGUAUCUGGAUAUCUCCUCUGCUGAAGUCUCAGACUCUGCGCUGUAUUACUGCGCACUGACGCCCACAGUGACAGGAAACUCAUCCUCACUGUACAAAAACAUCCUCAACAAUAAAUCUCAUAAACUAAAGUUUCAGAAAAGGGCCAGUGCAUCACAAAACACUUAA